CCCGCGUCUGAUUAGCCAGUUGGCAGGGUAACGGCCUACCAAAGCGACGAUCAGUAGCCGGCCUGAGAGGGCGGACGGCCACAUUGGGACUGAGACACGGCCCAGACUCCUACGGGAGGCAGCAG
rnacentral:rRNA from 1 species